CCUGGGGAAGUUCAAGCCCUUUGCAGGGAGGAGGAGCCUGGCCCCUCCUCUUCCUGUGUGGAAGCUGGGAUUCCAAUGGCAGGCAGGAAAUCUUGUAGUAGGUGAUCGUGGCCUUCCUUGGGAUCCCUGUUUCCCCCUUUUAUUCCCUUUUCACCCAGUAAAACCCUGCUUUGCUCACUCUUUAAAGCAUCUGUGAGCGUAAAUUUUUGUGGCCAUGGGAUGGACAAGAACCACAUGUUUACCUGAAGUCCUGUGACAUUUUGGUGUGCAGCAUGGGAGCUCCAAAAGUGACAUUCUUUCAGAUGCCAGAGGAUGCUAUAGAAAAAUGCGUGCCCUCUUGUAAUACUUUGUUCAAGUUCUGAUCAGAAGGAUGAAUGAUGGAGCCCAAGAAGCCAGAGUCUCAUUGUGUUGCUCAGGCUGGAAUCCAGUGGCAUGAUCUCGGCUCAGUGCAACCUCCGCCUCCUGGGUUCAAGCAGUUCUCCUAGAUCAGCAUCAGCGUCCCGAGUAGCUGGGAUUACAGGCACCCGCCACCAUGCCUGGCUAAUGUUGGUCAGGCUGGCUCGAACUCCUGACCUCAAGAGAUCCACCUGCUUUGGCCUCCCAAAGUGCUCGGAUUACAGGCAUGAGCUGCCACACCCAGCCUCCAAAUACUUUUUUUUUAAAUCAAAAUAAUGAUUUCAAUGACUGAGAUCUGUUAUGUAUUUCAACAUAAUCAUGUUUCAUAAAGAUUUAGUCUUCUGAAA
rnacentral:lncRNA from 1 species